GACAGAGGUGCCGAGCGUUAGGCGGAAUCACUGGGCUUAAAGCGUGUGUAGGCGGGCGAUCAAGUACCUUGUGAAAUCCCACGGCUCAACCGUGGAACCGCUGGGUAUACUGCCUGUCUUGAGUCAUCUAGGGGCGAGCGGAACAAAUGGUGGAGCGGUGAAAUGCGUAGAUAUCAUUUGGAACGCCAAUGGUGAAAACAGCUCGCUGGGGAUGUACUGACGCUGAGACACGAAAGCCAGGGGAGCAAACGGG
rnacentral:rRNA from 1 species